ACACCCUUAUCUCAGUGAUCGAGCUUUGGCUUUGACGACCACAGGUCGGUGGUUCGAUUCCACCCGGGCGCU